GGGGAUUUAGCUCAGCCAGCAUAAGCACCUGCCUUGUAAGCAGGCAGUUGCAAAUUCAAUCCCUG
rnacentral:tRNA from 1 species